UUCCUAUGGCCGACGUGUGCGUGGAUUAAAAAAAAAAAUAUAUUGUUUCAAUUGUCGUCACUUAGUGUAUUCCGCCCGCAUCGGAGUCCACGCCGUCCUCCGACGGUUGAAAAAACGCGCCCGGAGUCUGGAAUUCGUCGCGAGGCGACUGAAUAAUAAUUGAGUUGGACGUGCCCUUGCCCUUACCCUUGGACCCGAUCUCGGACUUGGCCUGCAGUCUAGGGAGAGGAUCAGGCUGGUCCUGAAACCCCUUUAUUAUUUUUUUUUAUUUUAAUCCGUAAUUAUUUAAUUGCCGCGGCGUGACUCCAGUAUCAUAACCAGCCACGCGACUCACCACGCGCUAAAAUGUCCAACGAAGAAACUUCCGCUGAUAGGAAUGUCGAGAUCUGGAAGAUCAAGAAGCUCAUCAAGAGUCUCGAGAUGGCCAGAGGGAAUGGUACGAGCAUGAUAUCGCUGAUUAUUCCGCCGAAGGAUCAAAUCUCCCGGGUCAGUAAAAUGUUGGCUGAUGAAUUUGGUACCGCGUCUAAUAUUAAGUCACGUGUAAAUAGGUUAUCAGUACUUGGUGCAAUAACAUCUGUACAACAUCGACUUAAAUUAUAUACCAAAGUACCUCCCAAUGGCCUGGUUAUAUAUUGCGGGACUAUCGUCACCGAAGAAGGAAAAGAAAAGAAGGUCAACAUUGACUUUGAACCUUUCAAACCUAUAAAUACUUCCCUAUAUUUAUGUGACAACAAGUUCCACACAGAAGCAUUGACGGCGUUGCUGGCAGACGACAAUAAGUUUGGUUUCAUUGUAAUGGAUGGUAACGGUGCCCUGUUUGGAACACUACAGGGAAACACGCGCGAAGUCCUUCAUAAAUUCACUGUCGACUUACCAAAAAAACACGGUAGAGGAGGUCAAUCUGCGUUACGUUUCGCCCGAUUGCGUAUGGAGAAACGGCACAAUUACGUGCGAAAAGUUGCCGAAGUUGCGACGCAAUUGUACAUUACUAAUGACAAACCCAAUAUUGCUGGACUUAUCCUCGCUGGUAGCGCUGACUUCAAGACAGAGCUCAGUCAGUCCGAUAUGUUUGAUCCCAGAUUGCAAGCUAAAGUAAUAAAACUGGUGGACGUUUCUUACGGUGGUGAGAACGGUUUCAACCAAGCAAUCGAACUGGCAGCGGAGUCACUUCAGAACGUAAAGUUCAUCCAGGAAAAAAAGUUAAUCGGCCGUUACUUUGAUGAAAUAUCACAGGACACAGGUAAAUAUUGCUUCGGAGUUGAAGAUACGCUUCGCGCUCUAGAGCUCGGCAGCGUCGAGACUCUGAUCUGCUGGGAAAAUCUUGACAUCCAGCGGUACGUUUUGAAGAACCAUACGAAUGGCGAAGAAAAGGUGCUACAUCUCACUCCAGAACAGGAAAAAGACAAAACUCACUUUACCGACAAAGAAAGUGGGGUAGAGUUAGAAUUAGUCGAGUGUCAGCCGCUGCUUGAGUGGUUAGCGAAUAAUUACAAAAGUUUUGGUGCCACCUUAGAAAUAAUUACCGACAAAUCCCAAGAAGGCUCGCAAUUCGUCAGAGGUUUCGGUGGAAUCGGAGGAAUCCUACGCUACAAAGUCGAUUUCCAGUCACUGCAGGCCGAUGAGCCUCUCGAUGAUGUUGACCUCGAUGAUUACUAAGUUAUUCGUCUCAAAAUAAUACUCAGUGUCGAUUCAGCUCGCACUUUGGAAAAGGUAUUUUGCGAUACAAAGUCGAUUUUCAAAGUAUGCAGCUUGAAGAAAUUGAGUUCGAUAAUUUUGAUUUGGAUGAUUACUAAGCAAAUAAAUAAUAUCGAACACACAAAAACUUUUAUCAUCUACAAAAUAAAUUUUGAUCGUUAUGGUACCAGGAAAAAAAACUAAGGAACGGAAGUUACUGAAAUAAUUUUAAAAAAAUGUAAAGAAAAUUUUAGUACUACAAAUUAACAUAAAAUAAAAUAAUAAUAAAUAAAUAAAUGAAUAAAUAAAAAACAACGAUGAGCGUAAAGAGUUAAGUAUUUUUUGGUAAUCAAAAAACUUUUUGCGCUAAAAAUAUUGUCGUUGUUUAAAUUUAUUAUUAUUAUUAUUUACCAAGUUGAGAGUUUACGUUACGAUUUCACAAUAUUUUCAAUUAAUAAAUUACAAAUAUUACACAAUUAAAAUAACAAUAAUAAUAAAAAGCAAAAUCGCAAAACUUGUUGAAGUUAAAAUUUUUUUUUUGCCCGGUGUUAAUUAAAAUUAAAUUUAUCUGAAGCGAAUAAACGAUAAUAAUAAUUCAUUAAUUAAAAGUAAUUACAGUAAUUGUAACAAUUAACAUAUGAUUAUGGAUCAGCGAUAAUGUUUUAUGUCAAGUUAUAUAAAGAAAUUGAGUUUAGUAUGCGCGUGAAUGUUGGGAAAGUGAAAAUAAAAAAAAAUAGUUUGAGCCGAUGGAUUAAAUUAAAAGUUUUAUUAAUAAAUAAUUAAUUAUUUACAUGAAUAAUUAAUUUUAAAAAUACGAAUGACAACUCGAAGACUGUAAAACUCAUGCCAGCUUGAAAACCUGCCUACUACUUCAUAAAAAAAAUCUAAAUAAAAUCUUGCGAGUUUAAUCAGAAUGGAAAUAAAAUAAACAGAUAAAAUAUUGUAAGCGUGAUAUUAAUGUAUGAGUGUAUUGAGAUGUUAAGUAUGUAAUUGAGGUGUGGACUGAAAAAUAUUAAAAGCCCGUAUCUUCUCAGGACGCUCUAGGACCGUUUGAUAAUUGAGUCCAAGUCCCGGGAUACUAGUUGGUGUACAGAAAAUUUUUGUACAGUACGAUGCGCACUAUUUAAUUGUUCUGUUAACACUAUUAUUAUUAUUAUUAUUAUUAUUAUUUUAAGUAUAAAUCAUUUUUUUUUUUUUUUUAUGUUCCGAUAACUCAAUUUCUAACUUCUGUUUGAUCUAACGUCUAUGUUAUUAAUGUUUAUUAAUAAUAAAAUUAAAUUUAAAUAUUA